AUGUUGCAAACAUUUGAACAUUCACUUGAUAUCUUCACAACUUCAUUUCUGGAGGUUCCUGGAGCUCAAACACCUUUCCUAGUGAUCAUUAGUCAUUAGGAGCCCAGUAAAAGCUACGUGCACUUGAUGUAUUUGAUUUAUACUUUGCUCAGGUAAAUACUCUUAACUUAUUUUCCCAAUACGGGCUUGGGAUACGGUAUUAUAAUAAUACUGCUUGGUCGGGUAUGUAGUCAUUUAAAUCGUAU
rnacentral:lncRNA from 1 species